GUUGGAUAUUUUUUUAUCUUUAAGUAACUAUACAUUGAAAGUAUUGAAUAUUUCAUUUCAAAUUCUUGAGGGAAGGGUACAUUUAUUACUGUCAGUCUCAAAUGCAAGAACUUGACAAAUGUUAGCCAUAAUUAAGUGUUAGCAUUUGCUAUGUAUUUUAAAGUACAAAUGACAGUGCUAAGCACUUUCAUUCACAAGGAAGGAUGCGAAAUAUCUCUUGCUUUCAUGGGUCAUAUAACCUGUUUGGUUAGUCAGUCCCUGUAUUUGUGAUGACAGCUUAGCAAAUUGAUAGUGCUUAUCUUUAUGGCUCUUUAGUUGAACUUGAUUUUGAUCUAUUGAAAUGGAAGUAUUGGAAGUACUAACUUCACAUUACUUACACACUCACAAAAUAUGAGUUUAUCAAACAUGAGAAAAAUUAUUUAAAGAAACGAUAACACUGGCCUUUAAGCCCAUUUGAAGUUCUGUACUUUUUCGUAGUCUGCAGGAAACUUACAUCUUCAGAAACUCACUCAGAAGCAUUCUUGAGUUAUGAGACAAAUCAUUAAUAAUUAGGAACUCUAACAUGAAGUUUCCAAAUCCUUGAAAUCUUCCUAAGGAAAGGAGAUAUACACCCUUAAUAUGAAAUUGAACCUUUUGUUUCUUUUCUAAUAAGGGCAGGGCU
rnacentral:lncRNA from 1 species